rnacentral:rRNA from 1 species
AACGAACGCUGGCGGCAGGCCUAACACAUGCAAGUCGAACGCCCUAGCAAUAGGGAGUGGCAGACGGGUGAGUAACACGUGGGAACCUUCCCUAUAGUAUGGAAUAGCCCAGGGAAACUUGGAGUAAUACCGUAUACGCCCGAGAGGGGAAAGAUUUAUCGCUAUAGGAUGGGCCCGCGUAGGAUUAGCUAGUUGGUGAGGUAAUGGCUCACCAAGGCGACGAUCCUUAGCUGGUCUGAGAGGACGACCAGCCACACUGGGACUGAGACACGGCCCAGACUCCUACGGGAGGCAGCAGUGGGGAAUAUUGGACAAUGGCGCAAGCCUGAUCCAGCCAUGCCGCGUGAGUGAUGAAGGCCUUAGGGUUGUAAAGCUCUUUUGCCGGGGACGAUAAUGACGGUACCCGGAGAAUAAGUCCCGGCUAACUUCGUG